CACACUCUAGCCUCUGUGCCUACGUCUUAAUGAUACGGUGCUUUGGCCGUGGCAAACUGCCACCAGGGUGCAGGAAGAAAUGACUGCACCUCCCGAAUCUGGAAAGGUGUACAUGGCCUC
rnacentral:ncRNA from 1 species